rnacentral:rRNA from 1 species
CAGCCGCCACGGGAAUACGAAGGGGGCUAGCGUUGUUCGGAAUUACUGGGCGUAAAGCGCACGUAGGCGGAUAUUUAAGUCAGGGGUGAAAUCCCAGAGCUCAACUCUGGAACUGCCUUUGAUACUGGGUAUCUUGAGUAUGGAAGAGGUGAGUGGAAUUCCGAGUGUAGAGGUGAAAUUCGUAGAUAUUCGGAGGAACACCAGUGGCGAAGGCGGCUCACUGGUCCAUUACUGACGCUGAGGUGCGAAAGCGUGGGGAGCAAACAGGAUUAGAUACCCCGGUAGUCCCUGUCUCUUAUAC